rnacentral:rRNA from 1 species
AGCGAACGCUGGCGGCAGGCCUAACACAUGCAAGUCGAACGAACCCUUCGGGGUUAGUGGCGGACGGGUGAGUAACACGUGGGAACGUGCCUUUAGGUUCGGAAUGACUCAGGGAAACUUGUGCUAAUACCGAAUGUGCCCUUCGGGGGAAAGAUUUAUCGCCUUUAGAGCGGCCCGCGUCUGAUUAGCUAGUUGGUGGGGUAAUGGCUCACAAAGGCUACGAUCAGUAGCUGGUCUGAGAGGAUGACCAGCCACAUUGGGACUGAGACACGGCCCAAACUCCUACGGGAGGCAGAAGUGGGGAAUCUUGCGCAAUGGGCGAAAGCCUGACGCAGCCAUGCCGCGUGGAUGAUGAAGGUCUUAGGAUUGUAAAAUCCUUUCACCGGUGAAGAUAAUGACUGUAGCCGGAGAAGAAGCCCCGGCUAACUUCGUGCCAGCCGCCGCCGUAACAC